GUCGGGAAUAUUGCGCAAUGGAGGAAACUCUGACGCAGUGACGCCGCGUGCAGGAAGAAGGUUUUCGGAUUGUAAACUGCUUUAGACAGGGAAGAAACAAGACAGUACCUGUAGAAUAAGCUCCGGCUAACUACGUGCCAGCAGCCGCGGUAAUACGUAGGGAGCAAGCGUUAUCCGGAUUUAUUGGGUGUAAAGGGUGCGUAGACGGGAAAUUAAGUUAGUUGUGAAAUCCCUCGGCUUAACUGAGGAACUGCAACUAAAACUGAUUUUCUUGAGUGUUGGAGAGGAAAGUGGAAUUCCUAGUGUAGCGGUGAAAUGCGUAGAUAUUAGGAGGAACACCAGUGGCGAAGGCGACUUUCUGGACAAUAACUGACGUUGAGGCACGAAAGUGUGGGGAGCAAACAGG
rnacentral:rRNA from 1 species